GUACUCUCUAAGUACUUACUACUUGGUACCAAUUUAUCGAUUUAUGUUCUUACUUUUUCAGUUUUUGAAACGCACUAACGCAGUACGUUUAAAACUGACCUAUUUCGAUGUCUUUGUCGGUCUUGUACGAAUCGUUGUAAUGUCUACGAUAAACGUUUGACAAGCUACAACGAUGGAAAACCAGUCGAUUGAUAAAGCGGCUCUCGUAAGUCCGCCGAGACAAGUUCUGCCUGGUUAUGUGGCACAACAACCUCCGCCACACAAUAACCAAAUACACUUGCAGACGGAUUUCACGUCUCCACCACCAACACAUCCCCAUGGGUUCUGGCCACAAGCUUUUCCCAAUUCAUGGCAAACACAGUUCCGUAUGCCCAGUCCUGCGCCACAGGCCAAAACUACCGUUACAAACACUACGACAUGUAAUAACAAUCCUCCCACGUUCAGUUCAUCUAGUAACAGUACUAUAAGAUCACCUUUGCCACGCUGGAGGUCGUUCAACAACAGUGCACGUCAACGAACACCUUAUCAGUAUGGGAAUACUCCAAGAAACAAUUAUCCAAGACAGUUCUCUCAAAAUGCUAAUGGGAAUUUCUUUGCUAAUUCUCCACAAAAUCCACAAACACCAUCAUCAUCAUCAACACAAAAUUGGCCUCAAUUUAAUCAAAGACCUCGGUUUAUACCAAGACAACAUAUGCGUAUGAACAGACCUCGUAGUUCCGUUCAAAAUCAAUCAAAUGGAACUAAUCAGGAAACAAAUGCUGUGACUGAAUGUAAAACACGUAAGCGCAAAUUAAAAUCACAACAAUCUGGAGAACCACAGCGUGCUCAAAAACCAUGGAAUCGCGAAGAUGCUGUAAAAGCAAUCGCUGCCGAGAUGGAACUUCGCACACCUAAAAACAAUCAACAAAUCAUGAUCAGAUUUCCAGAUCAUGAAAUUACACGGCAAAUUGUUCAGAACUUUCAUACUGACAUCAAAUCUGUACAUUUCCAUACACCAUGUAAUCCGAGGUAUUGUUAUGUGCAAGUACAACCAAGUGCAAAUAUUGAAAAUGUUGCAAAUGCGCUAAAUGAAACUUUUUUCCAACAUGAAAAAUUGAGGGUAGAAAUCAAAGAAAGUCAGUUUGAAGAAAAGGCAUUCCCGGAGUGCAUUGAUCCAUAUACAUUAUAUCUUGGAAAUUUGCCAACAAAUAUCACAUCUAAUGCUGUUAAAGAUGAAUUUCCAAAGGCGACUCGAGUUGACAUUGGGUUUGCUAAAAAAAUGAAGUACACAAGAUAUGCAUUUAUUAAAUUUUCUAAUGCGGAAGAUGCAAUACAAGCGUAUAAAGAAAAAUAUAAUUUGGUUAUUGAUAGCCGAUCAGUUGUGUUAAGAUUUAGACGUGGCAAAGGAAAUGUAAAUCCACCUGGACAGGUUGAUAAAUUACCAAAUGAGAUGAAUGAAUUUGAUAUACAAAGUUUACGAAAAAAAAUCAAGAGAGAACCUGUAGAAGAAAAUAUUGAUGAAUAUGAUCCUCCUCCAAUUAAUGUAUCGAGAGUAGUUAAGCCUGAAAUGAUGGAAGAGGAUGAAUAUGAACAUGAUUCUGUGUAUGAAUCUAUACCAUAUGCAAAUGAUAUUAGUAUAAAAUCUGAGUGUCCAGAUUAUGAAGAUGAAUAUGAUGAACAAUAUUAUGAAGAGGAAGAUACAAAUGUAUCUUAUACUUUCCGAAGAAAUGAAACUGUCAGUAUGGAUGUAGUGCUUGCUGAUAACAAUAGUGUUCAGUGCAUUCAAACCGAUCACAGUGACGAUAUCACAAUACCUACUGAAGUUGAGGAUGAAGAUAGACAAUGGAAUGAAAAACCUGACGACGAAGAUGAGUUUGAUGUGCCAUAUUCAUUUGUAUCAAAAAAUCAAGUACUAUUAGAAAAUAACAAAGACAUUACUUUACCUAAAACCGAUGAAAUUAAUGAUGGCGGAAGCGACAAAGAAGAUCAAAGAUGGAACAAUUCAUCAGAUGAUGAUAAUGAUGACGAUGGUGGUGCUGAAUACAAUUGGGAAGGAUUAAAUGAACAAAAGAAAUCUGAGAAACAAACGAAAGAUAAUGAAAAACGAGAAUAUAACUUUAAAAAAUCAGAUGACAUUAGAGCCGUUAAAUGAUUCAAAUUCAAACUCGAAAUACACACGAGUCUUGUUCACUCAAUGUGGCCAAAGGGGUGUUUAGGUUUGUAUCGGCCCGGUAUUGGGGCAUGUCAAGACGCAAAACUGAUGCACGUGUACUGAAGCGACAGAAGGAACGUCAAUCGCAAGCAGCAAGUCAGACUUCAAAUGAACUGAACUCACAAUACGCCAUCUAUUCUAUUUUCCAAACUGUAUCAUUGAAAAUCGAUCUACAUUAUAGAUCCCUUCAGACAUUCCUCUGCAUUGUGUAUGUUUUAAUCCUAUAUAUUAUCAUAGUUAAUCAAUAUUAAUACUUGUUAAAGCUGUGUGCGUGAAUCGAUGAAUAUAGUCUUAGUAGCAAAUUGUCUUUCUGUACAAGGUGUUCCUCUAAAUAUCAUCAGACUUUUUUGAUUGUCCGCUAGUUCGGAAUCUCUGUGAUUAGAUGAAUGAAAUUCUCAUCCCAGCUCCCGCCUCUCGGCCAAUCGAGAAAAAUGCUUAAAACUAUCAUGGUACUCCGUUUAAACUAUUUAUGUAUAAGUUAUAGAAUAGUUAAAUUUCCUCUUAUAAUGUUAGUAUAUUAUAUUGUGUUUAUUUUUUUUUUUAUAGUACUUUAUGUUGUACAAUAAUAACACUUAUAUAGUUGAUAUUAUAUAAUUACACACAUCACAUAUUAUAACAUAAUAUAAAUUAUACAUUGUCUAUUAUGCGUACAUAAUACGCAAUCAUAUAAUGUUAUAAUAAUAUUAUACCAUAAACUAGUUCCUCUAUAUUCAGUGUACAAACACACUUACAUUUUAACAUAGGUUAUACACAUAUAUUGUUGUAUAUUUUUCUCUUUAUAGUGAUGUACUUCCAACAUAAUUUAUAAAUUAAAUUAUUUAAUUAGAAGAAAAAUAAUUGUAUUUGUAUGUUGGAUGUACAUAAUUAAUGUCUGUUAAUUGUCCAUAAUGUGUUGUGAAGUUAUGUUUUUAAAUAUAAUAUUAUAAGUGUAUGAUAUGCAUAAACAAAGCUAUCCAUGUUAUAAGAUUUUUAUGGGAAAGUCUUCGAAAUUGGAGGUUUCGCUUAAUCUUAAACUUAUGUAUUGACCGUGACAGCAUAAUAUUGUAUAAAAAAAAUUUAAUAGAAUAUUGUAUUUUUUUUUUUUUUUGUGUGUACCAAUAAGUCUGUGCUCAUUAUUUUCGUAUUAUAUAUUUUACUCUAAUUUUUUUCAUCUACUAAAUUUAGAUAUUUAAAUACUUAGGUAAGCCUACAGUUGUUUUGGCUCUGCAUAAUUGACAAAUUGUAAAAAUUUUGAUAACAAUUAUUAUGCAUCAUGCUAUCAAACAUAUCGGGUAAUUUAUGUAUAUUUAUAUUGUAUAGCUUGCUUUAAAAUUAAGAUUUAUAUAAUGUUUAAAUAAUUUACAUUAACAUUAUAUUAUGAUUAAAAUCAAAAGGGAUUUUAAUUUAUAUAAUACAAUACUAUAGAUAUUUAUAUUAUAUAAUAUAUUAAAAUAAACUACAAACUCCAAACUUUGGAGUUUGUAGGUUAUAUGAAUAAGACUUUUAGACAAAACUCAUAUUAUUAUUACUAAAAUAUAUUAAAUUUAAGUAAUUUAAGUUCAUGUAACAUCAUUACAGUUUUUAAUUCCACAAUGUCUGACGAUUUAUUGGAUAAUCUCUUUGCUGUCUUUUCUUAUCAGGAAUUGUGAAUUAGAAUAGCUACUAUUAUUCAUUAUAUGUUUAAAUGUUUUAGUAUUAAUUAAAUAUAAAUUUUGGUUGGAUAACUGAUAUCUAGUUCUAGAUAGAUAAAUGUUGUACUAAACUUCAUGCCGUAUUGUUGCAAAUGUCUUUACAUUUUAUAAUUUUCAUUAUUAUUAUUUUUAUUAUAACUAUUUUGAUCAUUUAUAUUUUAUUGUAAUCUAAAAUAUUUUUAAAUGUAUUCCUUUGAUUAUAUUUUAUUUGUAUGAAUAUAAUCUAAUAUACAAUAGGUUAAUUUUUAAGUAUUUUUGCCCUUUUUAAAUGCUUCAAAUUCUGAUGUUUCUAGUUAUUAAAUUAAAGACCAUUUUAAAAUAUAACCAAUUAAAAAUCAUUUCAAAUGCUUAAAUUUUUGUUUGUCAUUUAAGGACUGUUUUGUUCUGGUGUUGAUUGAAAAGAGUAGUUACUGAAUUAAUAACUUUAUGUACUAAUUUGGUUAGUUUAUUUGAAUGUUGUAUUAUAAAUAUGUAUAACUUUAGCAGGGGCGGAAUGGUUCUAAAAUUCUUACCAAGAAAACCAAUAUUUUCAGGCUACUAAAUCUUAUAAGGAUCUUAUUAUACUGAUCAUCACAUAUGUCUUCCUAUAUUAUUAUUUCCUGUUUCAUUGUACACUAUAAAAAAAAUUGAAUAAUUUUUUUAUGCCAUUAUAUUACUUAAGGCUGUAAUGAUUUUUCUAGUAGAAUAUGUUCUUGACACCUAGUUUUUGGAACUUCUUAUCUAAAAGUUAUUAAUUUUUUUUGAAUAUAGCUUUGAAAAAUCUACUAAUUUAACAGUGUCAAAUGUUUCAAAUAGUGUGCCAUUCUGCCCCUAAACUUUAAAACCUAAUGGUUAAACAUAAACAGCAUUUGAAAACCAAUUCAGAAUUUUGAAUAAAUAGUUGAAGCAUUAAAAUUGGACAAGCAUGCUAAAUAAAUCACUCUACAAGGUGAUUCUUUUAUCAUGAAACACUCAUUGUUUCAAAAAGUAUUUUUAACCGUUUUUUAACAACAUGAAAUUAUGUAAAAAAAUAUUUUCAAAAACAUUAGUACUUUUUAAAAUAAUGAGUGUCGUGUUAAAAUAAUCACACUGUAUACAUGAAAUAAAUUUGAAAUUAUACAAAUUAUUGUAUUCUUUAUAAAAAAUUUAUAUAUGUAAGUCUUGUAUUUUGUGUUUCUUUUUGAUGUUCCGAUGUAUCUAAUACAUUUGUAUAAAUUUUUUAUUAUUUUUUAUCUACUUCGGAGGGACGUUAUUUAUACUCUUUUUUUUAUUAUUAUUGAAUUGUUAUACUCAUAUAACUUGUUCAGGAGACAUUGACAUCAGUUUCCAUUAUUUAGUACUAAUGAAUUUGUACUUUGUUCGAUAAUAAUUUAUGUUUAAAACUAAGUGUUCGUAAGAAUAAACUACAUUUGUAGAUUAGUAAAUAAGUUUUUUUUUAUCAAUAUAUACCUACAUUUGAAUUGAUUAUA